rnacentral:rRNA from 1 species
UACGUAGGGUGCGAGCGUUAAUCGGAAUUACUGGGCGUAAAGCGUGCGCAGGCGGUCUGUUAAGACCGAUGUGAAAUCCCCGGGCUUAACCUGGGAACUGCAUUGGUGACUGGCAGGCUUUGAGUGUGGCAGAGGGAGGUAGAAUUCCACGUGUAGCAGUGAAAUGCGUAGAGAUGUGGAGGAACACCGAUGGCGAAGGCAGCCCCCUGGGAUAACACUGACGCUCAUGCACGAAAGCGUGGGGAGCAAACAGG